rnacentral:rRNA from 1 species
GUGCCAGCCGCCGCGGUAAGACGAACUGCCCGAACGUUAUUCGGAAUCACUGGGCUUAAAGGGUGCGUAGGCGGCCUGGUCAGUGGGGUGUGAAAUCCCUCGGCUCAACCGAGGAACUGCGCCCCAUACUGCUAGGCUUGAGGGAGAUAGAGGUGAGCGGAACUCAUGGUGGAGCGGUGAAAUGCGUUGAUAUCAUGAGGAACACCUGCGGCGAAAGCGGCUCACUGGAUCUCUUCUGACGCUGAGGCACGAAAGCUAGGGGAGCGAACGGGAUUAGAAACCCUAGUAGUCC